rnacentral:rRNA from 1 species
AAAGCAGGUCAUAGUGAUCCGGUGGUUCUGAAUGGAAGGGCCAUCGCUCAACGGAUAAAAGGUACUCCGGGGAUAACAGGCUGAUACCGCCCAAGAGUUCAUAUCGACGGCGGUGUUUGGCACCUCGAUGUCGGCUCAUCACAUCCUGGGGCUGAAGUAGGUCCCAAGGGUAUGGCUGUUCGCCAUUUAAAGUGGUACGCGAGCUGGGUUUAGAACGUCGUGAGACAGUUCGGUCCCUAUCUGCCGUGGGCGCUGGAGAACUGAGGGGGGCUGCUCCUAGUACGAGAGGACCGGAGUGGACGCAUCACUGGUGUUCGGGUUGUCAUGCCAAUGGCACUGCCCGGUAGCUAAAUGCGGAAGAGAUAAGUGCUGAAAGCAUCUAAGCACGAAACUUGCCCCGAGAUGAGUUCUCCCUGAGACUUAAAGUC